GACAGAGGGUGCAAACGUUGUUCGGAAUUACUGGGCGUAAAGCGUGUGUAGGCGGCCAUAUAAGUCGGAUGUGAAAGCCCUGGGCUCAACCCAGGAAAGUGCACUCGAUACUGUAUGGCUUGAGUACUGGAGAGGUUGGUGGAAUUCUCGGUGUAGAGGUGAAAUUCGUAGAUAUCGAGAGGAACACCGGUGGCGAAGGCGGCCAACUGGACAGAUACUGACGCUGAGACACGAAAGCGUGGGAGCAAACAGG
rnacentral:rRNA from 1 species